rnacentral:rRNA from 1 species
UAGGGAAUCUUCCACAAUGGACGAAAGUCUGAUAGAGCAACGCCGCGUGAGUGAAGAAGGGUUUCGGCUCGUAAAACUCUGUUGUUAAAGAAGAACAUAUCUGAGAGUAACUGUUCAGGUAUUGACGGUAUUUAACCAGAAAGCCACGGCUAACUACGUGCUAG